rnacentral:tRNA from 1 species
GGAUGGGUGGCAGAGCGGCUUAUCGCGCCCGGUUGCUAACCGGGUGAGCCCCGCAAGGCUCCGCGGGUUCGAAUCCCGCCCCAUCCG